GGCUAAGCUACUAAGAGCAAACGGUGGAUGCCUUGGCGUCAAGAGGCGAUGAAAGACGUGGUAAGCUGCGAUAAGCUUCGGGGAGCUGCUAAACAAGCUUUGAUCCGGAGAUUUCUGAAUGGGGGAACCCAGUGCGAUUAAUUUUGCAUUACCCUUAACUGAAUACAUAGGUUAAGGGGGCGAACGAGGUGAACUGAAACAUCUAAGUAACCUCAGGAAGAGAAAGUAAAAACGAUAUUCCAAGUAGCGGCGAGCGAAAGGGAUAGAGCCUAAACCUUGUGCAUGUGAUAGCCUGGAGGCGUUGUGCAUAAGGGGUCGUGGGAUUUGACAUUCAUCAACUCCAGUUGGUGAGGGAAGUUACAAAGUUGAUUGUUAUCUGAACAUUCUGGAAAGGAUGACCAAAGAGGGUGACAGUCCUGUAAGAGAAAGCAAUCAACCUUCCUUGUCGAAAAAUACUACUUGACGACCGAUAGCGAACCAGUACCGUGAGGGAAAGGUGAAAAGUACCCCUGUGAGGGGAGUGAAAUAGUACCUGAAACCGUUUGCUUACAAGCAGUGGGAGCACGAUGCCUUCGGGCCGUGUGACCGCGUGCCUUUUGCAUAAUGAGUCAGCGAGUUAAUCUACGUAGCAAGGUUAAGCCGUGAGGUGUAGCCGUAGCGAAAGCGAGUCUGAACAGGGCGAACAUAGUUGCGUGGAUUAGACCCGAAACCAAGUGAUCUAUCCAUGGCCAGGUUGAAGCGUGAGUAAAAUCACGUGGAGGACCGAACCGUCGUAGGUUGAAAACUGCUCGGAUGAGCUGUGGAUAGGGGUGAAAGGCCAAACAAACUUGGAAAUAGCUGGUUCUCUCCGAAAUAUAUUUAGGUAUAGCCUUGCGUAACUAUGCAACGGGGGUAGAGCACUGAAUGGGCUAGGGGUCUCACCAGAUUACCAAACCUAAUCAAACUCCGAAUACCGUUGACAUUUAUCGCAGGAGUCAGGCUGCGGGAGCUAAGUUCCGCGGCCGAGAGGGAAACAACCCAGAUCGUCAGCUAAGGUCCCUAAAUCCAUACUAAGUGGUAAAGGAAGUGGAAAUGCCCAGACAACCAGGAGGUUGGCUUAGAAGCAGCCAUCCUUUAAAGAAAGCGUAACAGCUCACUGGUCGAGUGAGUCCGCGCCGAAGAUGUAACGGGGCUAAGUAUGGUACCGAAGCUACGGGUUAGUAUUUAUACUGACGGUAGGAGAGCAUUCUGUAGGGUUGAAGGUCGACCGAAAGGACGGCUGGACUGAUCAGAAGAGCCCAUGCUGACAUGAGUAGCGAUAAAGCGGGUGAAAAACCCGCUCGCCGAAAGCCUAAGGUUUCCUGAGUUAAGCUAAUCUUCUCAGGGUUAGUCGAUCCCUAAGCCGAGGCCGAAAGGCGUAGGUGAUGGAAAACAGGUUAAUAUUCCUGUACCACCGUAUAAUCGUUUGAGAGACGGAGGGACGCAGGAGGGUAGGUCAUCCGGGUGAUGGAUAUCCCGGUUCAAGCAGGUAGGCUUAAAGAGUAGGCAAAUCCGCUCUUUUUUAAGGCCGAGACGCGAUGACGAGCACAUAGUGCAUAAAGUGAUUGAUCCCAUGCUGCCAAGAAAAUCUUCUAUCGAGAUUGUAAGGUGAUCGUACCGCAAACCGACACAGGUAGGCAGGAAGAGAAUUCCAAGGCGCUUGAGAGAACCCUGGUUAAGGAACUCGGCAAAAUCACACCGUAACUUAGGGAGAAGGUGUACCCCAUAUAUGUGAUUCACUUCGCGUGAUGAGCAGACAGGGGUCGCAGAGAAAUGGCGGUAGCGACUGUUUACUAAAAACAUAGGACUCUGCUAAGUCGCAAGACGAUGUAUAGGGUCUGACGCCUGCCCGGUGCCGGAAGGUUAAGGGGA
rnacentral:rRNA from 1 species